AACGUAGGAGACAAACGUUUAUCCGGAGUUACUGGGCGUAAAGGGCGUGUAGGUGGUUUCGUAAGUCUGGCGUGAAAUUUUUCGGCUUAACCGGGAAAGGUCGUCGGAUACUGCGGAGCUAGAGGACGGGUAGAGGCGUGUGGAAUUCCGGGGUGUAGUGGUGAAAUGCGUAGAGAUCCGGAGGAACACCAGUGGCGAAGGCGACACGCUGGCCGU
rnacentral:rRNA from 1 species